CUGUUCCAUCCAGUUUGUUCUAGAAACAUCAAAACAGGUUCUGUGGUUUAUCAUUACAUACAAGAAGGACAGUACAGGACUGGUGCCAAGAAGGGACACCCCAGGCCACCUCACUGGUGAAUGUGCCCCCUGGCAGAGGGAGCAAGCUUGAGCGAGGGACUGUGGGACCCUUCAGACUUUCCAGUUUCUGUUGUAAUUCGUUGUGCUCUACACACAAGAACAGUGGGAUAUGAGAACAGGAGGCUCUGCAAGCCAAAACAGCUGCUCUAGGAAGGAAAACUGACUGAGGGUGAUGGCAGAGACUUUGGGGCUGUCAGGAAGUAGGUUUGAUCCUCGCUGCUGCAGGAAUACUGAAGGAGGCAAAGAGGACAGCGGUCAGCCUUCCC